rnacentral:sRNA from 1 species
GCUGUAUCGGUUAGAUUGGGAUACUCAUCAAUAGUUACUUGAAAACCGAGAUAAGUUAAUCUGUUCAAUGGCGUGCCGAUAUGCUUUCCCCCAGCGGGUAAGUAGGGUCGGAUUACAGAGACUGAUUAGCCCUCAAAUCCUAUUUCGCUCGGAGUUUCAUCACAUCACCGGUACAGCCUUUUU